ensembl:misc_RNA 7SK 7SK RNA
GGAUGUGCGGGAGAUCUGACUGUGACAUCUUUCACCCCAUUGAUCACUCGGGGUGAUUCAGAUGAUACGGCUGGCUAAGCGGGUGUCCCAUUCCUCCCUCACUGCUCAAUGUGUGUCCCUCCUGAAGCUGCGCACUUGGUCCAAGAGGAAGACCAUCCCUGACAGAGGAGGACCGGUCUUCAGUCAAGGGUAUAGGAGUAGCUGCGCUCCCCUGCAGGAACCUCCAAACAAGCUCUCAAGAGCUAUGCCAUGUAAGCGCAGGCAAAAGGGAUUCAAGUCCUUAUAUUAAUAACAAAGGGGCUGGGAAUGUAGCUUAGUGGUAGAGUGCUUGCCUUGCAUG